ACGGACUGACGGACGGACUGACGGACGGACGGACGAGGCCGCCGGAGGCAGCGGCUGCCCCGGAGCCGCCGGGUGCGAGGAGGACUGCCUUGGACUGUGAGACACCUGGACAAGGUGAUGCACUUGUACCUACAGGGUCAGGCCUGGAUGGCUGGGAUUUAAGAUUUUGCCAAAGGAAACUCAAUCAGAUUUAAGCCUUCACGACUACUCCUAAGGAAGAGAGCAUUAAG